UGCAAUCUCUUGAGUUUUCUUUUCUUUUUGUUUAGUUUUUAUUUUGUCAGUUAGUUUUGUAAUUUAUUUUUGUAUCUUGUUUUAGUGGAGACUAACGCAUUGCAGGUUGUUUCGUUCAAGUUGGGGGGCCUCUCGGCCACCAUAUCUUUUCUGCUCUGCUUAUUUCUCCACUCGAGGUAUUAUCCUUCCUCUUUCUUUCUUUCCAUUGCCUUAUUUCUUUUAGUGCCUUUGUAAUCACUGAGGGCAGUGACUAGUUUCAGUUGGGGGGUGGGGCAUACUUUGGGUGCUUUCUUUAGUAGUUUGUUUAAAAAUGAAAAAAAAAUUGAGAAAAUUGAAAAUUAAAAAAAAUGGGAGCCUUUCUGCAUGAGAUUGUUGUCUGUUGUGCUCGCUUGUUGAUUACUUGAGUAUGGGCAUGCUGCUACCAUUUCGAUAUCUCUUUGGCAGAGUAGUUUCAUUUGCUGGACUAUUGGUGCUUUUGUUUUAGCAUUUUUGCACAUUGCACGUCGGGCCUUGAUUGCUUGUGAGUUGUGAUUUAACUGUUUUUAAAGGCUAUGAUUAGUGGAGACUUAUGCCCGAGUGAGCUUUCAUGCCUUAAGCUUUUUGUUGGAGUGGUGUUGAAUAAACUCUUUGUUUGUCAUGGCAAGAAACACAUUUGUUGUCAAUCUCAUCAUCUUUGGUCGCCGAGUGUUGGAACUUGAAUGCAUAACAUUAUCUCUUGGUUUUGGUUUGUCACAUGGAUGUUACACCCCUGGGAGAGGAUUAUAGGCACUUUCGUGAUAUUUGGGCUAGUUCGUUCCUUUGUGUUCACAUUUAUUCCUUGCGAGCCACAUUGAGCCUUACAGAUUUAGCCUUUUCUUGGUUAGCUCCACCUUCCAUAUUGUGUUUGGAGAAAGGCGAGAAUGUAAAGGUUAAUUUUUGGGUAGAUUAUUGAAUUUUGUGGAGUAUUGGUGGUGUCCCUUUAAAAAAAAAGAAACACAACAAAAUCCAAUAAAAAAAAAGAGAAA